rnacentral:rRNA from 1 species
UGGGGAAUUUUGGACAAUGGGGGAAACCCUGAUCCAGCCAUCCCGCGUGUGCGAUGAAGGCCUUCGGGUUGUAAAGCACUUUUGGCAGGAAAGAAACGUCGCGGGUUAAAUACCCCGCGAAACUGACGGUACCUGCAGAAUAAGCACCGGCUAACUACGUGCCAGCAGCCGCGGUAAUACGUAGGGUGCAAGCGUUAAUCGGAAUUACUGGGCGUAAAGCGUGCGCAGGCGGUUCGGAAAGAAAGAUGUGAAAUCCCAGAGCUUAACUUUGGAACUGCAUUUUUAACUACCGGGCUAGAGUGUGUCAGAGGGAGGUGGAAUUCCGCGUGUAGCAGUGAAAUGCGUAGAUAUGCGGAGGAACACCGAUGGCGAAGGCAGCCUCCUGGGAUAACACUGACGCUCAUGCACGAAAGCGUGGGGAGCAAACAGGAUUAGAUACCCUGGUAGUCCACGCCCUAAACGAUGUCAACUAGCUGUUGGGGCCUUCGGGCCUUGGUAGCGCAGCUAACGCGUGAAGUUGACCGCCUGGGGAGUACGGUCGCAAGAUUAAAACUU